AGCCUCCUGAGAUGUGGCAUUGGUCAGCUGGUGGUACCGCCCCCGCGGGGGAGCAGCCAAUGACGCACCUCCGUCCUCUGGAGAGCGACGCACCUGAAGAAGUGAAGCAGGACGCUGAUUCUUCAGUGUUUUAUUUUUAUCUAUGUUGAAGUCACACUCAGUAGUUUUGAUGUUUUCGUUAAUGUUUCCUGUCUUUCUUUCUUUGUCUCAUUGCUCACUGUGUUAAUAUUGACGACAGGAACACCUGUCCUGAGCUCUGAUUGGUCUCACCAGUGAAGUGUCAAAGGAGAAGGCGGGGCUUCGAGCUGACAGCAGGGAAUCAGGAGAGGGGGAGGAGCCUCGCAUGGCCAGGUGGAGAGUGAACUGAUGAGCCACAGGAGCGGCUGUGAGGUAGAGCGGGUCGUCCACUAUUCAGAAGGUUGGCGGUUCGAUCCCCCCUGUCGAAGUGUCCUUGGGCAAGAUACUGAACCCCGAACUGCUCCUGAUGGCUGUUCCAUCAGUGUUGUAAAGUGCUUUGACUGGCUGUCGUCGCCCUCCGUCGAGCUCACGCUGUCACGGUAACGGGACCUGGAGGGGCGGUGCCUGCGGGCUUUGACGGACAGCUGGGCUCGGCCCUUCUGGAUGCUGUUGUCCAGCAGCUCGGUCUCAGGGAUCGCCUCGUUCAGGUUAUUGAUCCACACUCAUCUAUAUGGAUAUCAGGCCUCAUGCAUGUUGGUUCUCUUCUUCUACUCCUGUCUGACUUUCAUCAGGUUUGUUUUUGAUUCAACAAACUCUUAACGUCACAAACUUGUCACAAGUAGUUUUUCAGCGUGAUGAAUGAGGAGCUGACUGUUGGAUCGUUCAGCUGUAUGACGCUGCCUUUCUGCUCUGUAUGUAGGGCACAAAAUUCAAGUCCUGCUGUCAGACGUCAAGUGUCAUCAGGUUUCGUUCAAACGUGGCUCAUAUUUGAACUGAAUUUCAUAAAUAGCUGCAAAAGAAAAUGUAGUGAAUGUUUGUUUCCAUCCACUCCUGUUGUUUGAAUAU